GAUGAACGCUGGCGGCGUGCUUAACACAUGCAAGUCGAACGGGGAACGAGGGAGCUUGCUCCCUCCGGAUCAGUGGCGAACGGGUGAGUAACACGUGAGCAAUCUGCCCUGGACUCUGGGAUAAGCGUUGGAAACGACGUCUAAUACCGGAUACGAGGCGUGGGGGCAUCCCCAACGCCUGGAAAGAACUUCGGUCCAGGAUGAGCUCGCGGCCUAUCAGGUAGUUGGUGAGGUAACGGCGCACCAAGCCGACGACGGGUAGCCGGCCUGAGAGGGUGACCGGCCACACUGGGACUGAGACACGGCCCAGACUCCUACGGGAGGCAGCAGUGGGGAAUAUUGCACAAUGGGCGCAAGCCUGAUGCAGCAACGCCGCGUGAGGGACGACGGCCUUCGGGUUGUAAACCUCUUUUAGCAGGGAAGAAGCGAAAGUGACGGUACCUGCAGAAAAAGCACCGGCUAACUACGUGCCAGCAGCCGCAGUAAGAC
rnacentral:rRNA from 1 species